GGUUAAGCGACUAAGCGUACACGGUGGAUGCCUAGGCAAUCAGAGGCGAUGAAGGACGUGCUAAUCUGCGAUAAGCGUCGGUAAGGUGAUAUGAACCGUUACAACCGACGAUUUCCGAAUGGGGAAACCCAGUGCAAUUCGUUGCACUAUCGUUUGAUGAAUACAUAGUCAAACGAAGCGAACCGGGGGAACUGAAACAUCUCAGUACCCCGAGGAAAAGAAAUCAACCGAGAUUCCCCUAGUAGCGGCGAGCGAACGGGGAGCAGCCCAGAGUCUUAAUCAGCAUUAGCAUCAGGAGAACGGUCUGGAAAGUCCGGCAGUAAAGGGUGAUAGCCCCGUAUCCGAAGGUGUUAGUGUUGUGAACUCGACGAGUAGGGCGGGACACGUGUUAUCCUGUCUGAAUAUGGGGGGACCAUCCUCCAAGGCUAAAUACUCCUGAUUGACCGAUAGUGAACCAGUACCGUGAGGGAAAGGCGAAAAGAACCCCGGCGAGGGGAGUGAAAUAGAACCUGAAACCGUGUACGUACAAGCAGUGGGAGCCCCAUCACUCAAGUGCCUCGGCAAUUGAGUGAGGGUGUAAAACCAUCACAAUAACAGCGCAGGAUUUGCCAACAAGAUUGGCUGAUUUUUUCAAGCCGCAGCGCAGUGGACAUCGAAGUCCAUGAGCAGCGGAAGUUAAAAAAUCGGGCAAGAUUGGCCGCAAAGCCAAGCGGGACAUUUGAGGAUGGGGUGACUGCGUACCUUUUGUAUAAUGGGUCAGCGACUUAUAUUCUGUAGCAAGGUUAACCGUAUAGGGGAGCCGUAGGGAAACCGAGUCUUAACUGGGCGAAUGAGUUGCAGGGUAUAGACCCGAAACCCGGUGAUCUAGCCAUGGGCAGGUUGAAGGUUGGGUAACACUAACUGGAGGACCGAACCGACUAAUGUUGAAAAAUUAGCGGAUGACUUGUGGCUGGGGGUGAAAGGCCAAUCAAACCGGGAGAUAGCUGGUUCUCCCCGAAAGCUAUUUAGGUAGCGCCUCGUGAACUCAUCUUCGGGGGUAGAGCACUGUUUCGACUAGGGGGUCAUCCCGACUUACCAACUCGAUGCAAACUACGAAUACCGAAGAAUGUUAUCACGGGAGACACACGGCGGGUGCUAACGUUCGUCGUGAAGAGGGAAACAACCCAGACCGCCAGCUAAGGUCCCAAAGUCAUAGUUAAGUGGGAAACGAAGUGGGAAGGCUCAGACAGCCAGGAUGUUGGCUUAGAAGCAGCCAUCAUUUAAAGAAAGCGUAAUAGCUCACUGGUCGAGUCGGCCUGCGCGGAAGAUGUAACGGGGCUAAACUAUGCACCGAAGCUGCGGCAGCGAA
rnacentral:rRNA from 1 species